rnacentral:lncRNA from 1 species
GGCAAGUGUCCAAACAGGCUGAAACAAGGCAGACUGAGGUCCAUGCCAGCGUGGAGAUACUGCUGGACACUGCUGUAGCUUCCAGCUGAUGAAUGCAUGCGUGCAUGAAUGCAUACAGACAUGUGAAAAAGAGAGGGCAGGUGGUUCCAUCUUAUGCCAUCUCCAGGUGAUUGAACUGCUGCUUGGGAUGCUAUGCUCAGGCAACUUUCUGAGCCAGAAGUAAGUGUGUUGCAAUUCAUUAGUCGUGUCUCCUGUGGACUUGGGACAGAAGAGUGGCAGAAUAUUUGCUAUUCCAGUUAGCAAAUGGAGGUAGGGAGUUUUUUGGUGUCCUUGGGGCUUGUUUUUAUAUACAGAAGAUAAUUUUGCAUUUACUUCAGUUUUCAAAGUUAAUACAGAU